rnacentral:rRNA from 1 species
UACGUAGGUGGCAAGCGUUAUCCGGAUUUACUGGGUGUAAAGGGCGUGUAGGCGGUCUCAUAAGUCAGAUGUGAAAUUCCCGGGCUUAACCCGGGCGCUGCAUCUGAAACUGUGGGACUUGAGUACUGGAGAGGAUAGUGGAAUUCCUAGUGUAGCGGUAAAAUGCGUAGAUAUUAGGAGGAACACCGGUGGCGAAGGCGACUAUCUGGACAGUAACUGACGCUGAGGCGCGAAAGCGUGGGGAGCAAACAGG